GAGAAAAACAAGAAAAUAGACAAAACGGCAAUAUGGGGAAUUUGUGUUUGGGCUCUUGUUGUAUUUCUUCUUGUCGUCAACUAUUUUGUCAAGCCAAAGUCUCGUCCCCCUGAGACUUCGUUGAACACAGAGGGAGAGUCUAGUUUACCAGGUGUGGAGGAUGAAUUGUGAAGAAAGCUAGGUUUUUUUAUACAAAAUAUAAAUAGGAAGUUGAAAAAAUUU
rnacentral:ribozyme from 1 species